AAACCUUCAAGCUAUGCUUGGUGUUGGGUGUUUGUUCCGCCUCAGCGCGUGGACUCGCCUCAAAUUCAUUGGCAGCCGGUAUGUUGGCUUCGUGCGCAGCACAUUGCAAGCGACUUCAGCAUACCCCCUCCCACAAGCCCUUUUUUA
rnacentral:misc_RNA from 1 species